rnacentral:rRNA from 1 species
UACGGAGGAUCCGAGCGUUAUCCGGAUUUAUUGGGUUUAAAGGGUGCGUAGGCGGGACCAUAAGUCAGCGGUGAAAGUUUUCGGCUCAACCGGAAAAUUGCCGUUGAAACUGUGGUUCUUGAGUGCAGAAGAGGUAGGCGGAAUCCGUUGUGUAGCGGUGAAAUGCGUAGAUAUAACGAAGAACACCAAUUGCGUAGGCAGCUUACCAUACUGCAACUGACGCUGAGGCACGAAAGUGUGGGUAUCAAACAGGAUUAGAUACCCUGGUAGUCCCUGAG